UACGGAGGGUGCAAGCGUUGUCCGGAAUCACUGGGCGUAAAGGGCGCGUAGGUGGUGACCUAAGCGUGCGGUGAAAGCCCGAGGCUCAACCUCGGGUCGGCCGUGCGAACUGGGUCACUGGAGCAGAAUAGAGGCAGGUGGAAUUUCGGGUGUAGCGGUGGAAUGCGUAGAGAUCCGGAAGAACACCGGUGGCGAAGGCGGCCUGCUGGGUUCUGGCUGACACUGAGGCGCGACAGCGUGGGGAGCAAACAGG
rnacentral:rRNA from 1 species